GAGAGAAAAAAAAGGAGAUGAGAAGAAAGAACAAGGCCUGUGAAAAGCAGGAAAUGUUUGGAAUGAGCAGACCGCAAUUUGUCUGGGAAUGAGACUGGAAAUAAUUCACUCAACCGUUACUGGGUUGAUUGCAAAGUUAUUGAACUUGCUGGAGUUUUCUCAUCUAGUUCACGUCCUUGUUGUCUGUUGAGGCGAGUCUCAUUUGUGAGCAAUGGGCUGUGCUGCUGUAGGACCUGCUCACCUUAGUGAUGGAGCGAUGUGCUAAGCAAUGAACAGUCAGAGCAAAUGGAUGGGUUGUGUCCAGAGAGUUUCCAACCAAACACUUAAAAUGCAUAACUUUGCCGGAGUUAAAUACAUCUUACAGAAAAUACUAGGACAGAUUGUUAGAGAAAUCCUUGUUAAAAAUUACUAGGUACACAGAAGCACAUCUGUCUCCAGAAGGCCAUGACCCAUGCAAAUGGUUGAAGACCGAGUGAAAACCUGGGAGAAACAUCACUUACGCUGGUUCUCUUCUUA